rnacentral:rRNA from 1 species
CCUACGGGUGGCAGCAGUGAGGAAUAUUGGUCAAUGGCCGUAAGGCUGAACCAGCCAAGUAGCGUGAGGGAAGACUGCCCUAUGGGUUGUAAACCUCUUUUAUGCGGGGAUAAAGGUGUCCACGUGUGGAUGUUUGCAGGUACCGCAUGAAUAAGGACCGGCUAAUUCCGUGCCAGCAGCCGCGGUAAUACGGAAGGUCCGGGCGUUAUCCGGAUUUUUUGGGUUUAAAGGGAGCGUAGGCCGGUCUUUAAGCGUGCCGGGAAAUUUUGUGGCUCAACCAUGGGAGUGCGGCGCGAACUGGAGACCUUGAGUGCGCGGAAGGCAGGCGGAAUGCGUGGUGUAGCGGUGAAAUGCUUAGAUAUCACGAAGAACCCCGAUUGCGAAGGCAGCCUGCCGCAGCGUUACUGACGCUGAAGCUCGAAAGCGCGGGUAUCGAACAGGAUUAGAUACCCUGGUAGUC